GAAGUCGUAACAAGGUAUCCGUAGGUGAACCUUCGGAUGGAUCAUUAACGCUAUUCUAUUCUGCGUGGCCCAUCUUUUUGCUUAGGCGAUUGGAUGGUGUCACAAAGAACCACUUGAGAACUGUUGAAGUCCGUAACCUUUUGCAAAACUUUUACCUUGCAAACUCUUUGGACAGCAUUACCAUCAUUCUGCUUUUUAGUGGAAGGUAAUUCUUUCAUUUGAAUUUGGCUUUUGCCAUAAUUAAAACUUAACAGCAGGCUUAGGCUUGCGAUAGCACAACUUAUAGCGAUGGAUACCUUGGCUC
rnacentral:misc_RNA from 1 species